CAAUAGCGUAUAUUAAAGUUGUUGCAGUUAAAAAGCUCGUAGUUGGAUUUCUGGUUGAAGCGACCGGUCGGGCGUUGAUUCGUCUGCACUGGAGUCGGUUUUGGCCAUCCUCUAGGAAAGUGCGUCUGGUAUUAAGUUAUCGGGCGUAUGAUCCUGGUCUUUUACUGUGAAAAAAUUAGAGUGUUUAAAGCAGGCCUUCGCCUUGAAUACAUUAGCAUGGAAUAAUAAGAUAGGACUUUGGUCUAUUUUGUUGGUUUGCAGACCGAAGUAAUGAUUAAUAGGGAUAGUUGGGGGUAUUUAUAUUCCGAUGUCAUAGGUGAAAUUCUUAGAUUUUCGGAAGAUAAACUUAUGCGAAAGCAUUUACCAAGGAUGUUUUCAUUAA
rnacentral:rRNA from 1 species